CGCUGGCGGCGUGCUUAACACAUGCAAGUCAAGGGGGCCCAGCAAUGGGCAACCGGCGAACGGGUGCGUAACACGUGAGCAACCUACCGAACUGUGGGGGAUAGCCGGCCUAACGGCCGAGUAAUACCGCAUACGCUCUCAGAGAGGCAUUUCUUUGAGAGGAAACCUACGGGACAGAUCGAGGGGCUCGCGGCCUAUCAGCUAGUUGGCGAGGUAACGGCUUACCAAGGCAACGACGGGUAGCUGGUCUGAGAGGAUGGCCAGCCACAUUGGGACUGAGAUACGGCCCAGACUCCUACGGGAGGCAGCAGUGGGGAAUCUUGCGCAACGGCCUAACGGCUGACGCAGCGACGCCGCGUGUGGGAUGAAGCUCUUCGGAGUGUAAACCACUGUUGCCCGGGACGAAUAGCUCGAUUAAUCGAGCCUGACGGUACCGGGUGAGGAAGCACCGGCUAACUCCGUGCCAGCAGCCGCGGUAAUGCGGGGGGUGCGAGCGUUGUCCGUAAUCACUGGGCGUAAAGGGCGCGUAGGUGGUUUGAUAAGGGUGUGGUGAAAGUCCGGGGCUCAACCCCGGAUCUGCCGUGCCGACUGUCAAACUCGAGGACUGUAGAGGCAGACGGAAUUCCGGGUGUAGCGGUGGAAUGCGUAGAGAUCCGGAGGAAGACCGGUGGCGAAGGCGGUCUGCUGGGCAGUUUCUGACACUGA
rnacentral:rRNA from 1 species